AGCGAACGCUGGCGGCAGGCUUAACACAUGCAAGUCGAACGGGCAUCUUCGGAUGCUAGUGGCAGACGGGUGAGUAACACGUGGGAACGUACCUUUCGGUUCGGAAUAAUACAGGGAAACUUGUACUAAUACCGGAUACGCCCUUCGGGGGAAAGAUUUAUCGCCGAUAGAUCGGCCCGCGUCUGAUUAGCUAGUUGGUGAGGUAAUGGCUCACCAAGGCGACGAUCAGUAGCUGGUCUGAGAGGAUGAUCAGCCACACUGGGACUGAGACACGGCCCAGACUCCUACGGGAGGCAGCAGUGGGGAAUAUUGGACAAUGGGCGAAAGCCUGAUCCAGCCAUGCCGCGUGUGUGAUGAAGGCCUUAGGGUUGUAAAGCACUUUUGUCCGGGAAGAUAAUGACUGUACCGGAAGAAUAAGCCCCGGCUAACUUCGUGCCAGCCGCCGCAGUAACAC
rnacentral:rRNA from 1 species